AUUCCAGCUCCAAUAGCGUAUAUUAAAGUUGUUGCAGUUAAAAAGCUCGUAGUUGGAUUUCGGAAUGGGUCAGUUGGUCCGCCUCACGGUGUGUUACUGACUGGUCUGUUCUUCUUCGCAAAGACUGUGUAUUCUCUUCAUUGAGUGUGCUCAGGAUUUACGACGUUUACUUUGAAAAAAUUAGAGUGUUCAAAGCAGGCCUACCGCUUGAAUACAUGAGCAUGGAAUAAUGGAAUAGGACUCUGGUGCUAUUUUGUUGGUUUCGAACACCGGAGUAAUGAUUAACAGGGACAGUCAGGGGCACUCGUAUUCCGCCGAGAGAGGUGAAAUUCUCAGGCCAGCGGAAGACGAACCACUGCGAAAGCAUUUGCCAGGGAUGUUUUCAUUA
rnacentral:rRNA from 1 species